rnacentral:lncRNA from 1 species
AGGUGGAACCGUGCGAUGGUGGUGAAGAAGCGCAUCUCCCUGGUGGGGAUGAUCUCCCCGUUCUUCCCCACGCGCGGGUUCUCGUAGAAAUGGCGGCGGCCGGACUCGUACAGCACGGAGUAGGUGACCGGGUUGCGCAGCGACGAGGUGGCGUGGUACACCGGCACCGCCUGCGCGCCCUUCUCCUCCGACGAGUGCGCCACCAUCGCCGCCAUCAUGGCGUUCACCACCAUGUCCCCCGGGAUGACGUCCAUGACGAGGUCGAGGUCGGCGAGGAAGCAGGAGAGGUUCUGCUCGGCGUAGCCGAUGAUGAGCGUGUCGAUGGUGCGGGUGCCCUGCAUCCACCCGCGCGCUGGGUCGGCCCGGACACUCGUGAUGAUGCUGGGCCGCAUGAUCACCACGGGCAUGU